UAAUUGAUUGAGAACCUAUCCAUAGAUGUACAUGGGUGAGCUAGCCAAAGUCGGACUCGUGUGCAGUCUGUGUGGAUUUUAGUACCCAUUAAGAAAUUAAGGUAAUUCCUUGGAUUGGCAGAGGCUAUAAAUUCGAUCAAAAUAGUAAGAGAAUCUUUAAACUAAAGUCCAAAUCUUUAGGCUUAAUCAAUUCAUAAACAAGAGGUCAUGUAUUUUUUUCAGUUAUGGCU
rnacentral:lncRNA from 1 species